AUGGCCGCCGCCACCUCCCCCGCCGUCGCAUUCUCCGGCGCCGCCGCCGCCGCCGCCGCCAUGCCCAAGCCCGCCCGCCAGCCUCUCCCGCGCCACCAGCCCGCCUCGCGCCGCGCGCUCCCCGCCCGCGUCGUCAGGUGCUGCGCCGCGCCCCCCGCUGCUGCCACCUCCGCCGCGCCCCCCGCCACCGCGCUCCGGCCCUGGGGCCCGUCCGAGCCCCGCAAGGGCGCCGACAUCCUCGUCGAGGCGCUCGAGCGCUGCGGCAUCGUCGACGUAUUCGCCUACCCCGGCGGCGCGUCCAUGGAGAUCCACCAGGCGCUGACGCGCUCGCCCGUCAUCACCAACCACCUCUUCCGCCACGAGCAGGGGGAGGCGUUCGCGGCGUCCGGCUACGCCCGCGCGUCCGGCCGCGUCGGCGUCUGCGUCGCCACCUCCGGCCCGGGGGCCACCAACCUCGUCUCCGCGCUCGCUGACGCCCUCCUCGACUCCAUCCCCAUGGUCGCCAUCACGGGCCAGGUCCCCCGCCGCAUGAUCGGCACGGACGCGUUCCAGGAGACGCCCAUAGUGGAGGUCACGCGCUCCAUCACCAAGCACAACUACCUGGUCCUUGACGUGGAGGAUAUCCCCCGCGUCAUCCAGGAAGCCUUCUUCCUCGCGUCCUCUGGCCGCCCGGGGCCGGUGCUGGUUGAUAUCCCCAAGGAUAUCCAGCAGCAGAUGGCCGUGCCUAUCUGGGACACGCCGAUGAGUUUGCCAGGGUACAUCGCCCGCCUGCCCAAGCCACCAUCUACUGAAUCGCUUGAGCAGGUCCUGCGUCUGGUUGGUGAGUCACGGCGCCCAAUUCUGUAUGUUGGUGGUGGCUGCGCUGCAUCCGGCGAGGAGUUGCGCCGCUUUGUUGAGCUCACUGGGAUUCCGGUUACAACUACUCUGAUGGGCCUUGGCAACUUCCCCAGCGACGACCCACUGUCUCUGCGCAUGCUUGGGAUGCAUGGCACUGUGUAUGCAAAUUAUGCAGUCGAUAAGGCUGACCUGUUGCUUGCAUUUGGUGUGCGGUUUGAUGAUCGCGUGACUGGGAAAAUCGAGGCCUUUGCAAGCAGGUCCAAGAUUGUGCACAUUGACAUUGACCCAGCUGAGAUUGGCAAGAACAAGCAGCCACAUGUCUCCAUUUGUGCAGAUGUUAAGCUUGCUUUACAGGGGUUGAAUGCUCUAUUAAAUGGGAGCAAAGCACAACAGGGUCUGGAUUUUGGUCCAUGGCACAAGGAGUUGGAUCAGCAGAAGAGGGAGUUUCCUCUAGGAUUCAAGACUUUUGGCGAGGCCAUCCCGCCGCAAUAUGCUAUCCAGGUACUGGAUGAGCUGACAAAAGGGGAGGCGAUCAUUGCUACUGGUGUUGGGCAGCACCAGAUGUGGGCGGCUCAGUAUUACACUUACAAGCGGCCACGGCAGUGGCUGUCUUCGUCUGGUUUGGGGGCAAUGGGAUUUGGGUUACCAGCUGCAGCUGGCGCUGCUGUGGCCAACCCAGGUGUUACAGUUGUUGACAUUGAUGGAGAUGGUAGUUUCCUCAUGAACAUUCAGGAGUUGGCAUUGAUCCGUAUUGAGAACCUCCCUGUGAAGGUGAUGAUAUUGAACAACCAGCAUCUGGGAAUGGUGGUGCAAUGGGAGGAUAGGUUUUACAAGGCCAAUCGGGCGCACACAUACCUUGGCAACCCAGAAAAUGAGAGUGAGAUAUAUCCAGAUUUUGUGACGAUUGCUAAAGGAUUCAACGUUCCGGCAGUUCGUGUGACGAAGAAGAGCGAAGUCACUGCAGCAAUCAAGAAGAUGCUUGAGACCCCAGGGCCAUACUUGUUGGAUAUCAUCGUCCCGCAUCAGGAGCACGUGCUGCCUAUGAUCCCAAGCGGUGGUGCUUUCAAGGACAUGAUCAUGGAGGGUGAUGGCAGGACCUCGUACUGA
rnacentral:rRNA from 1 species